UACGUAGGGUGCAAGCGUUGUCCGGAAUUAUUGGGCGUAAAGAGCUCGUAGGCGGUCUGUCGCGUCGGAUGUGAAAAUCCAGGGCUCAACCCUGGACCUGCAUUCGAUACGGGCAGACUAGAGUUCGGCAGGGGAGACUGGAAUUCCUGGUGUAGCGGUGAAAUGCGCAGAUAUCAGGAGGAACACCGGUGGCGAAGGCGGGUCUCUGGGCCGAUACUGACGCUGAGGCACGAAAGCGUGGGUAGCGAACGGG
rnacentral:rRNA from 1 species